UACAGAGGGUGCAAGCGUUAAUCGGAAUUACUGGGCGUAAAGCGCGCGUAGGUGGUUUGUUAAGUUGGAUGUGAAAGCCCCGGGCUCAACCUGGGAACUGCAUCCAAAACUGGCAAGCUAGAGUACGGUAGAGGGUGGUGGAAUUUCCUGUGUAGUGGUGAAAUGCGUAGAUAUAGGAAGGAACACCAGUGGCGAAGGCGACCACCUGGACUGAUACUGACACUGAGGUGCGAAAGCGUGGGGAGCAAACAGG
rnacentral:rRNA from 1 species